GAUGAAGAACGUAGCGAAAUGCGAUAAGUAAUGUGAAUUGCAGAAUUCAGUGAACCAUCGAAUCUUUGAACGCACAUUGCGCCCGGCAGUAAUCUGCCGGGCAUGCCUGUCCGAGCGUCAUUUCUCCCCUCGAGCGCAGCUUUCCCCCCCGGGGGAGGGCCGCGCCCGGUGUUGGGGCGCUACGGAGGAGCCCAGCGCUCCCCCGUAGGCCCCGAAAUGUAGUGGCGGUCCCGCCGCGGCGCCCCCUGCGUAGUAGUUUUACAACUCGCAUCGGGUCCCGGCGGAGGCCAGCCGUCAAACCCCCCAACUUCAAUAGUUUGAUCUCGGAUCAGGUAGGGUUACCCGCUGAACUUAAGCAUAUCAAUAAGCGGAGGA
rnacentral:misc_RNA from 1 species